AAACACUGUUGCUGUGGAACCAUCCUCCAGUUUGAGUCUGACAGCCUGAGGACCUGCUCCCUCUGUAGAUAUAAAGGACUCAUUCUACGGUAUUUCUGCCUCCAGACCUGUAGAAUCUGGAUCUAUGAUUGCAAACCACCUGCUGCCUCUGUGAUCCUGCUCAACACCCACUGCUACAAUUAUUAUUAUUAUUACUAUGCAUUUCUAUGUGGAACUUAUAUUCUGCUAGGCUCUCUUUCCUCCUGCUCCCCCCCCCCUUCUUCUUGUCUCUCUCUCAACCCAACCGGUCGAAGCAGAUGGCCGCCCACCCAGAGCUCGGUUCUGCUCAAGGUUUCUUGCCGUUAAAAGGGAGUUUUUCCUUGCUGCUGUCACCAAGUGCUGCUCAUGAGGGAACGUUAGGUCUCUGUAAAUGAUAUUGUAAAGAGAGAACUUCUAUAUAAAUAAAAUUGACUUGACUUGGUGGUAAA